rnacentral:lncRNA from 10 species
GGCGGCGGCCGCGGCGGCACCUCAGGGCAGCCAGAUUCCCCAACAACGACCUCCGGUCCUUCCCCUUCCCCGCGAGACCUCCGCCCCAGCUCCGCCCCGCCCGGGGCUCUUGCGUUUCGGAGUCCCAACUACGCGGAGCGGGCGCCGCGGCCGGAGCGUCCCUCCACACGUCCUCCCCCAGCCGCCAGCUCCGCCGCGGGGCCAGACCGGGCCCGGGAGUGCAGCCCCGGCGGGCGGGCGGCGGCCGCGGCAGAGGGCAGCCCGG